rnacentral:rRNA from 1 species
GACGAACCGUGCGAACGUUGUUCGGAAUCACUGGGCUUAAAGGGCGCGUAGGCGGGCAUUCAAGUCAGGGGUGAAAUCCCUCAGCUUAACUGAGGAACUGCCUUUGAUACUGGGUGCCUCGAGUAAGGUAGGGGCAUGCGGAACUGAUGGUGGAGCGGUGAAAUGUGUUGAUAUCAUCAGGAACUCCGGUGGCGAAGGCGGCAUGCUGGACCUUCACUGACGCUGAGGCGCGAAAGCUAGGGGAGCGAACGGG